rnacentral:tRNA from 2 species
GGCCGACUGGCCUAAUGGUUAAGGCGUCAGUUUCCGGCGUGAAUUGUCAAGUUUAAGCUGAAGAUUCUGGGUUCGAAUCCCAGGUUGGUCG